UACGGGAGGCAGCAGUGGGGAAUAUUGCACAAUGGGCGCAAGCCUGAUGCAGCCAUGCCGCGUGUAUGAAAAAGGCCUUCGGGUUGUAAAGUACUUUCAGUCGUGAGGAAGGUGUUAAGGUUAAUAACCUUAGCAAUUGACGUUAGCGACAGAAGAAGCACCGGCUAACUCCGUGCCAGCAGCCGCGGUAAUACGGAGGGUGCGAGCGUUAAUCGGAAUUACUGGGCGUAAAGGGCACGCAGGCGGUUAAUUAAGUUGGAUGUGAAAUCCCCGGGCUUAACCUGGGAAUGGCAUUCAAGACUGGUUAGCUAGAGUCUUGUAGAGGGGGUAGAAUUCCAUGUGUAGCGGUGAAAUGCGUAGAGAUGUGGAGGAAUACCGGUGGCGAAGGCGGCCCCUGGACAAAGACUGACGCUCAUGUGCGAAAGCGUGGGGAGCAAACGAGGGAUUAGAUACCCG
rnacentral:rRNA from 1 species